ACCGAAAUAGCUCAGUUGGGAGACUGUUAGACUAUAGAUCGAAAAGUCCCUGGUUCAAUCCCGGGUUUUGGCA
rnacentral:tRNA from 1 species